rnacentral:rRNA from 1 species
UACGUAGGGAGCAAGCGUUGUCCGGAAUUACUGGGCGUAAAGGGCGAGUAGGCGGCACGACAAGUAGGGUGUGAAAGCCCCCGGCUUAACCGGGGAGGGUCAUUCUAAACUGUCGAGCUAGAGUGCAGUAGAGGCUAAUAGAAUUCCCGGUGUAGUGGUGAAAUGCGUAGAUAUCGGGAGGAAUACCAGUGGCGAAGGCGAUUAGCUGGACUGUAACAGACGCUGAGGCGCGAAGGCUAGGGUAGCAAACAG